rnacentral:rRNA from 1 species
AGUGAACGCUGGCGGUAGGCCUAACACAUGCAAGUCGAACGGCAGCACAGUAAGAGCUUGCUCUUACGGGUGGCGAGUGGCGGACGGGUGAGGAAUACAUCGGAAUCUACUUUUUCGUGGGAGAUAACGUAGGGAAACUUACGCUAAUACCGCAUACGACCUACGGGUGAAAGCAGGGGAUCUUCGGACCUUGCGCGAUUGAAUGAGCCGAUGUCGGAUUAGCUAGUUGGCGGGGUAAAGGCCCACCAAGGCGACGAUCCGUAGCUGGUCUGAGAGGAUGAUCAGCCACACUGAACUGAGACACGGUCCAGACUCCUACGGGAGGCAGCAGUGGGGAAUAUUGGACAAUGGGCGCAAGCCUGAUCCAGCCAUACCGCGUGGGUGAAGAAGGCCUUCGGGUUGUAAAGCCCUUUUGUUGGGAAAGAAAAGCAGCAGGUUAAUACCCCGCUGUUCUGACGGUACCCAAAGAAUAAGCACCGGCUAACUUCGUG